rnacentral:rRNA from 1 species
AUUGAACGCUGGCGGCAGGCCUAACACAUGCAAGUCGAGCGAGCGGCGGACGGGUGAGUAAUGUAUGGGGACUGCCCGAUAGAGGGGGAUAACUACUGGAAACGGUGGCUAAUACCGCAUACCAUCGGACAACCCAUACGGGUUUAGCUAGUAGGUGGGGUAAAGGUUCACCUAGGCGACGAUCUCUAGCUGGUCUGAGAGGAUGAUGAGCCACAGUGGGACGGAGCCACGGCCCGGACUCCUACGGAGGCAGCAGUGGGGAAUAUUGGACAAUGGGCGCAAGCCUGGUGGAGCCAUGCCGCGUGUAUGAAGAAGGCCUUAGGGUUGUAAAAUACUUUGAGCGGGGAGGCGUUACCCGCAGACGAAGCACCGGCUAACUCCGUGCCAGCCGCCGCGGUAAUAC